GUCUCAGGCCGUAUCAGCCUGAAGGCGCCCGAUCUCGUCUGAUCUCGGAAGCUAGGCAGGGUCGGGCCUGGUUAGGAUCUUGGAUGGGAGACCACCUGGGAAUCCCGGGUGCUCGAGGCU
rnacentral:rRNA from 1 species